AUGAACGCUGGCGGCGUGCCUAAUACAUGCAAGUCGAGCGAACGGACGAGAAGCUUGCUUCUCUGAUGUUAGCGGCGGACGGGUGAGUAACACGUGGAUAACCUACCUAUAAGACUGGGAUAACUUCGGGAAACCGGAGCUAAUACCGGAUAAUAUUUUGAACCGCAUGGUUCAAAAGUGAAAGACGGUCUUGCUGUCACUUAUAGAUGGAUCCGCGCUGCAUUAGCUAGUUGGUAAGGUAACGGCCUACCAAGGCAACGAUGCAUAGCCGACCUGAGAGGGUGAUCGGCCACACUGGAACUGAGACACGGUCCAGACUCCUACGGGAGGCAGCAGUAGGGAAUCUUCCGCAAUGGGCGAAAGCCUGACGGAGCAACGCCGCGUGAGUGAUGAAGGUCUUCGGAUCGUAAAACUCUGUUAUUAGGGAAGAACAUAUGUGUAAGUAACUGUGCACAUCUUGACGGUACCUAAUCAGAAAGCCCCGGCUAACUACGUG
rnacentral:rRNA from 1 species